GAUGAACGCUGGCGGCGUGCCUAAUACAUGCAAGUCGAGCGAACAGACGAGGAGCUUGCUCCUUUGACGUUAGCGGCGGACGGGUGAGUAACACGUAGGUAACCUACCUAUAAGACUGGGAUAACUUCGGGAAACCGGAGCUAAUACCGGAUAAUAUUUCGAACCGCAUGGUUCGAUAGUGAAAGAUGGCUUUGCUAUCACUUAUAGAUGGACCUGCGCCGUAUUAGCUAGUUGGUAAGGUAACGGCUUACCAAGGCAACGAUACGUAGCCGACCUGAGAGGGUGAUCGGCCACACUGGAACUGAGACACGGUCCAGACUCCUACGGGAGGAAGCAGUAGGGAAUCUUCCGCAAUGGGCGAAAGCCUGACGGAGCAACGCCGCGUGAGUGAUGAAGGUCUUCUGAUCGUAAAACUCUGUUAUUAGGGAAGAACAAACGUGUAAGUAACUGUGCACGUCUUGACGGUACCUAAUCAGAAAGCCCCGGCUAACUACGUG
rnacentral:rRNA from 1 species